CCGGCCCCGGCCCCCCUCCCUCCGGGCAACGCUCGCCUCCCUCCGCCUCAGACUGUUUUGGUAGCAACGGCAACGGCGGUGGCGCGCCCCGGCCCGGCUCCCGGCGGCUCCUCGGUUUCGGCGGGCCUCCCCGCCCCUUCGUCGUCCUCCUUCUCCCCCUCGCCGGCCCGGGUGCCCCCCCCGCCGCGCCGACCCGCGCCUCCCCGCCGCGCUCCGGCGUCUCUUCGGCGCGCCCGGCUCCCGGCUGUCCCCGCCCGGCGUGCGGGCCGGUGUAUGGGCCCCUCACCAUGUCGCUGAAGCCCCAGCAGCAGCAGCAGCAGCAGCAGCAGCAGCCCGCGGCCGCCAAUGCCCGCAAGCCUGGCGGCGGCGGCGGCCUCCUCACGUCGCCCGCCGCCGCGCCGUCGCCGUCCUCUUCCUCAGUCUCGUCGUCCUCGGCCGCGGCUUCCUCCUCCUCCUCCUCCUCCUCGGUGGCGGCGGCGAGCGCAGGCGGCGGGCGGCCGGGCCUGGGCAGAGGCCGAAACAGUAGCAAAGGACUGCCUCAAUCUACGAUUUCUUUUGAUGGAAUCUAUGCAAAUAUGAGGAUGGUUCAUAUACUUACAUCAGUUGUUGGAUCCAAAUGUGAAGUACAAGUGAAAAACGGAGGUAUAUAUGAAGGAGUUUUUAAAACAUACAGUCCUAAGUGUGAUUUGGUACUUGAUGCUGCGCAUGAGAAAAGUACAGAAUCCAGUUCGGGGCCAAAACGUGAAGAAAUAAUGGAGAGUAUUUUGUUCAAGUGUUCAGAUUUUGUUGUGGUACAGUUUAAAGAUAUGGACUCCAGUUAUGCAAGAAGAGAUGCUUUUACUGACUCUGCUAUCAGUGCUAAAGUGAAUGGUGAACACAAAGAGAAGGACCUGGAGCCCUGGGAUGCAGGUGAACUCACUACCAGUGAGGAACUGGAGGCUUUGGAAAAUGAUGUUUCUAAUGGAUGGGAUCCCAAUGAUAUGUUUCGAUAUAAUGAAGAAAAUUAUGGUGUAGUGUCUACAUAUGAUAGCAGUCUAUCUUCAUAUACGGUGCCCUUAGAAAGGGAUAACUCAGAAGAAUUUUUAAAACGAGAAGCAAGGGCAAACCAGUUAGCAGAAGAAAUUGAAUCAAGUGCCCAGUAUAAAGCCCGGGUGGCCCUGGAAAAUGAUGAUAGGAGCGAAGAAGAAAAAUACACAGCAGUUCAGAGAAAUUCCAGUGAACGUGAGGGCCACAACAUAAACACUAGGGAAAAUAAAUAUAUUCCUCCUGGACAAAGAAAUAGAGAAGUCAUAUCCUGGGGAAGUGGGCGACAGAAUUCACCACGUAUGGGCCAGCCUGGAUCGGGCUCCAUGCCAUCGAGAUCCACCUCUCACACUUCAGAUUUCAACCCAAAUUCUGGUUCAGACCAAAGAGUAGUUAAUGGAGGUGUUCCCUGGCCAUCGCCUUGCCCAUCUCCUUCCUCUCGCCCACCUUCUCGCUACCAGUCAGGUCCCAACUCUCUUCCACCUCGGGCAGCCACCCCUACACGGCCGCCCUCCAGGCCCCCCUCGCGGCCAUCCAGACCCCCGUCUCACCCCUCUGCUCAUGGUUCUCCAGCUCCUGUCUCUACUAUGCCUAAACGCAUGUCUUCAGAAGGGCCUCCAAGGAUGUCCCCAAAGGCCCAGCGACACCCUCGAAAUCACAGAGUUUCUGCUGGGAGGGGUUCCAUUUCCAGUGGCCUAGAAUUUGUAUCCCACACCCCACCAAGUGAAGCGACUGCUCCUCCAGCAGCAAGGACCAGUCCCGCAGGGGGCACGUGGUCAUCAGUGGUCAGCGGGGUUCCAAGAUUAUCUCCUAAAACUCACAGACCCAGGUCUCCCAGACAGAAUAGUAUUGGAAAUACUCCUAGUGGGCCAGUUCUUGCUUCUCCCCAAGCUGGUAUUAUUCCGGCUGAAGCUGUUGCUAUGCCUGUACCAGCUGCAUCUCCUACGCCUGCCAGUCCUGCAUCCAACAGAGCUGUAACCCCGUCUCUUGAGGCUAAAGAUUCCAGGCUUCAAGAUCAGAGGCAGACCUCUUCUGCAGGGAAUAAAGAAAAUAUGAAGCCCAAUGAGACAUCACCUAGCUUCUCAAAAGCUGAAACUAAAGGUAUAUCACCAAUUGUUUCUGAACAUAGAAAACAGAUUGAUGAUUUAAAGAAAUUUAAGAAUGACUUUAGGUUACAGCCAAGUUCUACUUCUGAAUCUAUGGAUCAGCUGCUAAACAAAAAUAGAGAGGGAGAAAAAUCAAGAGAUUUGAUCAAAGACAAAAUUGAACCAAAUGCUAAGGAUUCUUUCAUUGAAAAUAGCAGCAACUGCACCAGUGGCAGCAGCAAGCCGAGCAGUCCCAGCAUUUCACCUUCAAUCCUCAGUAACACGGAGCACAAGAGGGGACCUGAGGUCACAUCCCAAGGGGUUCAGACUUCCAGUCCAGGAUGUAAACAAGAGAAAGAUGAUAAAGAGGAGAAGAAAGAUGCAGCUGAGCAAGUGAGGAAAUCAACGUUGAAUCCCAAUGCGAAGGAGUUCAACCCUCGUUCCUUUUCUCAGCCAAAGCCUUCUACCACCCCAACUUCGCCUCGUCCUCAAGCACAACCUAGCCCAUCUAUGGUGGGUCAUCAGCAGCCAACUCCAGUUUAUACUCAACCUGUUUGUUUUGCACCAAAUAUGAUGUAUCCAGUCCCAGUGAGCCCAGGAGUGCAACCUUUAUAUCCUAUACCUAUGACGCCCAUGCCCGUCAAUCAAGCCAAGACAUAUAGAGCAGGUAAAGUACCAAAUAUGCCCCAACAACGGCAAGACCAACAUCAUCAGAGUACCAUGAUGCACCCAGCCUCAGCAGCAGGCCCACCAAUUGUGGCCACCCCACCAGCUUAUUCCACACAGUAUGUUGCCUAUAGUCCUCAGCAGUUUCCAAAUCAGCCUCUUGUUCAGCAUGUGCCACAUUAUCAGUCUCAGCAUCCUCAUGUCUAUAGUCCUGUAAUACAGGGUAAUGCUAGAAUGAUGGCACCACCAACACAUGCCCAGCCUGGUUUAGUAUCUUCUUCAGCAACUCAAUACGGGGCUCAUGAGCAGACGCAUGCGAUGUAUGCAUGUCCCAAAUUACCAUACAACAAGGAGACAAGCCCUUCUUUCUACUUUGCCAUUUCCACUGGCUCCCUUGCUCAGCAGUAUGCGCACCCUAAUGCUACCUUGCACCCUCAUACUCCACAUCCUCAGCCUUCAGCCACCCCCACUGGACAGCAGCAAAGCCAACAUGGUGGAAGCCAUCCUGCACCCAGUCCUGUUCAGCACCAUCAGCAUCAGGCCGCCCAGGCUCUCCACCUGGCCAGUCCGCAGCAGCAGUCAGCCAUUUACCAUGCGGGGCUUGCACCAACCCCACCUUCCAUGACACCUGCCUCCAAUACACAGUCGCCACAGAAUAGUUUUCCAACAGCACAACAGACCGUCUUUACGAUUCAUCCUUCUCAUGUUCAGCCGGCUUAUACCAAUCCACCCCACAUGGCCCAUGUACCUCAGGCUCAUGUACAGUCAGGAAUGGUUCCUUCUCAUCCAACUGCCCAUGCGCCAAUGAUGCUAAUGACGACACAGCCACCCGGCGGUCCCCAGGCCGCCCUCGCUCAAAGUGCACUACAGCCCAUUCCAGUCUCGACAACAGCGCAUUUCCCCUAUAUGACGCACCCUUCAGUUCUGGUUCAAGGUAUCUCUAGAAAAAGACAAGACUGAGAGAUGUUCUCUUUGGUGGCUAGAGGUCUGCUUCAGAAGGAGGAAGGCUGGCCAGAGUUGGGCAGUGCCGAAAGUCCACAUCCUCACCCUGACGCUGAUUCUAAAUGAUCAAAGGCAGAAGAUUUAUACCAGAUAAAGCCAUAUGGAUUGCUGGUCUAAAAUUCAAGGCAGGUUAGUUGACUUAAUUCUUUGGUGCUGGUGACUGUUAGUUUGUAAAAGUUCAUUGAAGUCAGGCGAAGGAGGUGAUGAUGCUGGGAGCAGUUAAGCUAUCCUUGUUGUCUGUAAUUAGAGAUAACUGGAGGGCUUGUGAUGCUUACUGUCCAACUGGCACUCAAGAGUCUGGCUCUCAGUAGAGGCUGCUGGCUUGGCCUCUUGCCGCCAGCAGUGGUCACAUUGAGGCUGGAAAGAGGGUGGUGGAAUGUGCUAUGACUGCGGUGGGCUGGCUGCAGCCGUCAGGGUUGCUGCCUCACUGCCUGUGACAGCAUCAAGCCCAGGGACCCACUGCCCCCGUUCCUCCAGCUCAACCUGCUCUAGCAGAAAGAAAAGGCAUUGACUUAGUGUCGCUUCUUCCCAGGCCAUGAGGGGCCUUUUUGUCGGAAUGUAUUUGAGCUGUCCUGGUAACUCAGACACAUUUAGUAAAUAAAUGUUUUUCUUGAACAUUUUACACUGAUGCAGUCUGGAAGUGGAUGACUGUGUCACAGAUUCUGAGCUUGUACUUUGUAGCCAGUCGGUCAGAGCUGCUGACUUGCUGUGCCUGGCUUGCCUCUUGGCAUUACCUGAGAAUUGUAUGUUGAGCGGCUGUUAAGAAGUGAGUGCCCCUGGCUUGUGGAUAUCAUAUCCCAGAUGUCUGUUUACCCUUCUGGUUGGAGGGAGGGAACUUACUUGUCUGGUUCAUUGUCUGCUUGGCCCCUUUCCUGUGCAGACAGGGGAAAAUCUGUACCAGUGACUUGUCAGCAUUUACUUUCUAUGAUGAGCUUUCUCUUGUAAAAGAGAAAUCCAAAACAGUGCUUACUCCUGGUCUACACUUUGCUUAGCAUUCAUUAAUCAGACCUGCUUGAUGUGUAGAAAAUGUGGCCCUUAGAAAUAGACAACUCUAGAUCAGGGUUGGUUAUGCUUUACCGUCUGUGAAAACACCCAGGACUGUUGGUUUUAUCUGUAUAUAUAAGGUGGGGGGAGGGGCACGCCACACAGCUUGCAGGAUCUCAGUUCCCUGACCAGGGGUGGAACCCACGCCCCCUACAGGGGAAGCACAGAGCCCUACCACUGGACCACCAGGGAAGUCCCAGGAGUGUUGGUUUUAAAAGUGGAAGAGAGGUGGCUCCUGACCUCCCUGCUUCUCCCAAAGUCUGACCUCUGACCUCUUGGAGUGGAGAACGGCUGGAGGGAACAGACACACGCCUCACCCCAGAUAAGGCAGGCAAGUAGUUAGUUUAGGCCAAGGUUUAAUUUUAGCUUUUGACUGAUGUAUGUAUAAAUGUUAAGCUGCGCUGAACUCCCAGUUUCCUAGAAGCCACUUCAAGGAGCCCAGUGGCUAUACUGAACGGCUCUGCUCGCACCCACAAGCAGCUGACUCCACUCGGUCACUGCCUCCCUUGUUUCUGAGCCUCUGCAUGAAAGUUCUGGGAGGAGCCAGCCCCCAUGAAUUGUAUCACUUGUGAAAGGCAAGUAUAGAUGGAGAUUUGACUGCAGGACCUCCCUGCAUGGUAGAGGUUAUGUGUGCCUAUGUAUACAUGCACACAUGCUUCAUCAGAUGAAGCAGUGGUUACUGCUGGAACAGAACACUGAUUGUGGGCUAUUAAAGGAGUUUCUCAUUAGCUGUGGCACCAGAUUCCUAGCUUCCAUUUUGGCUCAAGAAUGAGCCUAAAACCUUGUGGGAUAAUUUAAUAAGCCUUUAGACACUUGGAGGCUCUGAGCCAGCCCUGUUGGUGAAGGAUUUACUAGAAAGGGCCCAGCAGCCCUUUAUUCCUUUUUCCUUGCCCCUCCCUUACCCCUCAGUUUAACUCUCACCAUAAAGCUGCUGUAAACCAGAAUCCAGUUUUUUAUUCAUAAGGCACCAGGGUGGAAUUGUUCCUUGCCACCCUCCUAUUUCAGUAAUUGCCUGAAUUUCCCUGAAAGGGUGACACACUUCACUUCUCUACAUUUAGGAAGGACAGUGGCUCCUCAGCAACAGGUGACUGUCCUGAGGAUGCAAUAGACAAGGAAGCCAGGCAUGCUGGCUCGAACCAGGAACUGGUCAAGUAGGAUUUGCAUAGCUGUCUCUGACUACAAAAAUCGCAUGGGUAUUAGUUCAAACAGUGCAAUGAAAUAAGCAGUGGUUUAAUUUUGAAACCUGAAUCCUUUGAAAAAUUAAUCUGAGGUAAAAAUGUUUAAAAUCAUUUUUGACCUUUAGCUUGUCCAUCUGCCAGAACUUUGUCCUAAAGUUGAGAGUCGAAGCAGGAUAGGUGUGGUCACCUGUGGCUUGGGUACAGCAGACCCGCCACGUGGACUGAAGCUAUAACGGGAAAAAAACCACAGGAGAAUCCAGGGCUUGUUAGUGUUUUGGGCUUCCUGAUGGGCCCCCCUCCCCCCUCCCCAAGUAGAAAGUCUGCCAGCUGGGACAGUGUCAGUGAAAAAGAGAACAAGUUUCCACUGCCAACUCCAGCCCUCACCCCACUGCCCCCUCUAAGAGUGAUGGGGCCUGGUCCUAGGGACCCAGGGCAGGAGCUGGCGACAUCCACGAACAAGAACUACAUCUGUAAACAAUAAGGAGAAAGCCAGGUGAGAAUGGAACUUCUAGGAGGCCCUUUAACAGGCCUAAUUGAAGGGUCACAUCCAAACUGGAAUGAACAGUUAACAGUGUCCCUUAAAUCUCUCUCUGGAAGGAAGGAAGGAAAGUUACAUUCAGAAGUUCACAUCUCUACUUGCUUGUGCUUCUCAGGGGCCUCUGGGAGGCCUGUCAGAGAGGCGUGUACUGAUUGUCUAUGGCCCGCAGGUGGCUCCGGGAGGAGGAGUCCAUUUCAUAGUCCGAGUCCCGGGCUCGACUGGUGGGCUCGGGCUCCAGGUGCCGCAGGCUGUUGGCCAGUUCCUCAGGCGAAGGCACCAGGUGGAAGAUCUGCUCUGGGGGAGAGGACCGGCCUGGGAGACCCUCUGGGCCGAGCCCCCGUGGACAGCCAGAAGCGCUAAGGUGGGGAAGGCCCAGCUCUGAAUCCCAGCGAGAGAGGGAGAAAGGGAACAGGACAGUGUUGGAGGAACCUGGGGGACAAGUGACCAAGAGAGAGACCACACUGUCAGUCUUAACGGGGUGGAGGCAAGUGUUGGAAGGACACAACACGAGGUCUCGGUUCCCAGUGCCACCACCCCCUUUAUCAAGGGGCAUUAGGGUCACACCUGGCGGCUGGGAGACGACUACCACAUAGCUGGACAGCCGGACGUCACAGGCAGCCCCGCACUCGAGUGGGAUGGGUGAGCGCUGGAAGUGGUGGAGCAUGUCCACAACCGAGGGGAAGUGGAGGUGUUGCACGCGACACUGGCCCCGCUCAGUCAGUGACAGGCGCAGGUGCUGCAGGAGAGGAGGACGGUAGGCUCAGGCAUUGGCCCCUAAGGGCCUUGAACCUGGCCAGGGUGCAGCCCACCUGCCUCGCCCCAUACCUUGGCUAUGCCCUGGAAGUUGAACGUGAGCACGUACUCCCCACGCCGAGUCUCACUCUGCCGUACCAGGAACACUCCAUGAGCGUCAGGACCCUGCAGCUGAACCAGCUGAGCUGCCUUCACUCGGGAGAUGGGGCCAUGGAACCAGGGGUAGCAGGACAGGAAGUGAUCUGUUUUCUGGCAGGCUGGAUCCAGCAACCCCCCAGGAGAAGCACCUGAUAGAGAAGGAGACAGGUGUGGAAAGCUGUCACUCACCUUCAGCACAAAGGUGUAGAGGUUGUCAGGCAUCUCGAGACGUGUGCAUCGCCGAAUCUCCUGGAUGCUGGAGCAGGCUGCUUGUAGCUUGGGCUUUGAACUCUAGGAGACCAAGGCAGACAUUCAAGGCCUGUCUCUGAUGGCCCUUCACCCACCCAGGCCUCCCCAGGGGCUAGCUUGCUGAGUGCAUGCUCGUGGUGCUGCUGAGCAGGCACCCCAAGCCUGGAGUGCGUCCUAGCAUUCUGCCUUGCAGGAGCCUGCAGAGGGCCCUCUGCCUGUAGCCACAGCACCAGCUCCCCCGACCCCAACACACACACACACACACACACACACACACACACACACACAUUCAGCUCCCCAGCACCCGAUGUGGCCUAAGGGCCAACCUCUGCUUCACCUGGACCUGUGGACAUUCCAGCUCUGACAUGUCUGUUGGCUGACACCUGUUUCUCUUCCCACUGGUGGAGCAAAACCCCCCAACCCCCUACCCUUGCCAGUCACAGUGGCUGCUGGCCACCUCAUCGCAGUAAACCCAGAGAGUGGACGUGAGGGUAUCCAACCCAAGUUCCCUCUAAUGGUGCUGGCUGACUCUGCCUGGGGGCCCAGGACUUUAUCAUACCUUUAGCUCCGCUCCUCCGCAGCCUUAGGAAGCAGAUACUAUCACCACAUCUUAAAAAGAACCUCAAAUCUUGGAAGUAAAGUCAUUUGCCCCACACCUAGCUAAUCUGUCCUGCCUUCAAGUCUUAGGGCAAGGAGGGGGUUGGCAGAGUAGCUUAGCUAUGGGCUCUUGGGGCUCUUUUGCCAAUGUGCCCAAAGGGGCAAAGCCUGGCAUGGCUGGCCUCAAUUACAGCCAGCCAGAAGCCCACACAAAACCUGGGGCCCAGCAGUCUCCCAUGACAUUCAACACACGUGGGGCUCAGAGUGGGUGGGAGAUGACCCCCUACCCUUUUGCCAGCAAAAGGGUCCUGACUGAACCUGGCUGACCCUGCAGAUGCUUGUUCCCGGGGCCCAAGAGCUCUCAUCGUUUUCUCAGAAAGGAGAUCACCCCUUCACUGCCCCCAUCUCCUCCACUUCCUCCUGUGAUAAGACUGGUAAGAUUGUUUCUCUGGGGUCAUGAGAUGAUCGAUGGCUGCUUCCAGCAGAGGCCAAAAGAAGAUAAGAGUGUGGGGGAAGGAGCAAGAUGUGGGAAAUGGACAGAGGAGACCCAACUGGGCCCUCCUCCCUCCAGCAGCUUUUCCUAAGAGCCAGGAGACAGACAGCAAGGCGCACCUGGAGAUACCACAGCUCUCACCAAGGCAGUGCCAGCUGGGGAGGAGGAAACAAGAGGCAGGAACAAAGGUGAGUUCCAGGCACAGUGGCUUUGGCAGACCUGACCUCCAUGAGGGGCUGACUUUUCAAAAGGUGGUGCAAGAGUCAGUCCUUAAAGCCAUACGCUUAAGCAUGCUCCAGACACACAGGUGCCAGGGUUCUGAUAGAAGGAUGGUGACCCCAGGACUGGGCAGCCUGGCAAGAGAGGGUUGGUCAAACUGGGGCUCUUCCUGGUCCAGGCCCACUCCCAGAAGGUCUUGGAGCUGCCAGUCCUGCCCUGGUUGUUGGACACAGCAGUCUGGGGAGAACAGCUCUGGGAACAAGCUCAGAGAGGUUGCACAGCUAGUAAAUCCCAGCCCUAAGUGAUCAGCACUAGCCAGGGCAUCUUCACCCUUCAAGUUCUUAUAUGUCCCCCACGACCAAGUUCCUCAGCCUGGGAGCCUCGCCUGGCACCUACACAAGCACUGGACACGCUGGAGCGCAUGGGAAGCAGGGCCUCUGCUCUCCCAGCAGCUUUCACUGUCAGCCAGCCCCUCUGUCUCUAUUUCCCGUCUGCAAAACGGGUUAGGUGCAGAGGGCUCCUUCCUUCUCUUGCUUUUGCAGUCGGCCCUGCCUGGACCCCCAGCCUCCCCACUGUCUCUAGGCCCUCAGCAUCACUGGGAGGAAGCGGGCCAGGCCGAGAGGGUAACAGGCCUCAUCUCCCUUUCAGUUCUGCUCUGGGUCCCGGGCCCUGCCCCCAGUGUGAGUGCCCAGAUUACUGGCAGAGCCUGGUUUCACUCUGGAAGUGGGGCCCUCCAUGCCAGCUUCACCCCCAGCAGCUGAGGAACCGCUGACCUGACAGGCAGUGAAGAGAGCAUUCCCCUCCUCCCCCCACAGCCAACCCUGGCUGCACAGACGUCCUGGCUCCCCUCUGCCUGCUGGCUGAGCGUGAUACGGGUUCUUUGGUGUCUUCAUGGUGGCCCAGGCUCACACAACCCCAGAGGCUGAGCCGGGGGCUGAACCCCAGCCUGCCAAGGACCAGAGCCAGUGCAUCUAACUACCAUGCUGCCUGGUGGGGGAGAUGCGAGGGGCUCUGCCCAGAUUGGAGGGGCAAUUGAGAGCACAGGGACAGACAUCCCCACCUAUGGCCACAGCCCUAGCUGGACAGUCCAGAGCAGGACUUGUGAGCGCUGGUCACUGUGUGGAUGGACCAGUGGGUGCCUUUCUGACUGAACAAUGUGAUGGAACAGAGCUCUGCUGGAGAGAGCCGAGCCCGAACCGCAGCCGCAGGAACACUUGGGGCUUCAGGUUCCCCUCCUCUCACAUACCCUCUAUUCUACCUGCCACGCAGAGCAAGCCAGGCCAGCAGCUGCUCUCUGGACCCACCUCAGAGUCACACUGUGCUUGGGUGAUCAAAAUGACCAGACCAUCCCAGUGUUUGCAGUACAGGCGGUAGUAGACUGUCACCCGCCACAUCCUACAGGCGGUAGUAGACUGUCACCCACCACAUCCUGCAUCAUCCCUCCUGGGGAGCUCUCGUUCUUAGCUCCAAUGGCCACUGUGCCUCCAGUGGUAAUCCAUUUCUUUGUUUGCUCUGGCUGCUAGGAAGCGUAAAGACAAAGCUGUAGACCGGCUCUGACACUGUCCUCACAGUAGGGCUUGCAUUUCUAGAGCUAACUUUAUCCAGGCUUUUUAAUUUUUCUUAUUCCUCUAGGCACUAGGGUUCAGUCUUGACCCUACCCUUCUUGUAUAACCUUGGACAAGCAACUCAGCCCUCCAUGCCUUAGUCUUGUCAUAUGUAUGUAUGGUGGAAAUAUUUAAUAGUCCCUCUCUUUUCACAGGGUUGGUAUGGUGAUGGGUGAACUAUAUAUUGCAAGUGAAAGAAAUACCUGAUAAACAGCUGUUGUUAAAUUUCCAGGCUGGGGCCAGCCAAGAUGGGAAAAGCCUGCUUGGGUUGACUGCUGUGUUACAGUGCUCCCGUGUCACAGGACUGCAGUACGGCAGCAUUACAGUGCUCCUGUGUCACGUACAGGACUACAGCUUCCCCUGAGCACACACCUGCUUUCUCUCAACCUUACAGAGCCUGUUUGUAAUGUGCUCCCUUUCUACCUGCAACGAAGUUAUAACCUCCCUCCCUACGUACAUACCCUAAGUAGGAUAAAAGGGGAGAGUAAUGGAAUGUAAUUGAUACUAAAAUAAAAUGUAUAUAUCACUGUGA